rnacentral:lncRNA from 1 species
AUCUUUCCCAACAUCAGGAUCUUUUCCAGGGAGUUUUCUCUUCUCAUGAGGUGUCCAAAGUAUUGGAGCCUCAGCUUCACGAUCUGUCCUUCCAGUGAGCACUCAGGGCUGAUUUCCUUCAGAAUGGAUAGGUUUGAUCUUCUUGGAGUCCAUGGGACUCUCAAGAGUCUCCUCCAGCACCAGAAUUCAAAAGCAUCAGUUCUUCGGCGAUCAGUCUCCUUUAUGGUCCAGCUCUCACUUCCAUACAUCACUACUGGGAAAACCAUAGCUUUAACUAUACAGACCUUUGUCGGCAAGGUGAUGUCUCUGCUUUUUAAGAUGCUGUCUAGGUUUGUCAUCGCUUUUCUCCCAAGAAGCAGGUGUCUCUUAAUUUCGUGACUGCUGUCACCAUCUGCAGUGACCAUGGAGCCCAAGAAAGUAAAAUCUCUCACUGCCUCCAUUUCUUCCCCUUCUAUUUGCCAGGAGGUGAUGGGCCCAGUGGCCAUGAUCUUAGUUUUUUUUAUGUUGAGCUUCAGACCAUAUUUUGUGUUCUCCUCUUUCACCCUCAUUAAAGGUUCUUUAAUUCCUCCUCACUUUCUGCCAUCAAGGUUGUGUCAGGGGACUUGUAACAGUAACAACUCCCAACUAGCUAACCAAUCAGUGAGCGACAGUUCUCAAUCCUUCAUUUGCAUACUGGUGGCUCUGAGUGAGAACUGCAGCUAAUCUUAAUACAUAACACAAUCAAAGACUUUUUUUGUACGGAUUAACCAGUGAAACAGAAUGGCAGUACAUCCAAUUGAAACAUGAUUGUUGAUAUUUCUUCUGGCAAUCUUAAUUCCAGCUUGGGAUUCAUCCAGCCCAGCCUUUCGCAUGAUGAAUUCUGCAUGUAAGUUAAAUAAGCAGGGAGACAAUAUACAGCCUUGUCGUUUUGAACCAAUCAGUUGUUCCAUAUCCAGUUCUAACUUCUUGUCCCACAUAGAGAUUUCUCAGGAGACAGAUGAGGUGAUCAGGCACUUCCAUUUCCCUCUCGAUGUUUCACAAGCCACUAAUGUACAUAGCCAAAGCCCAGGAAUUUGUUUUGAGUACCAGAACUGAAUGGAGCUCAACACAAAGAUCGUCUCCUGGUUACCCCUCCCAAAAAAAACCACCUUCUUUAUCAGUCAGUCAGUCAGUUUUAUUGCACAUAGCCAAAGGCUGCCGCAAUGUACACAGAAUCAUUCAACAAUUAAAAGAAAAUAUACUGGAUUGAUACAAAAAAACUUAAAACAUUUAUAUCAUCAAAACAUUACCUACUCUAAAAAGAGCUAUAAAAGUACCUUAAUAUACAAGUUAAGACAUUAAACAAUAAAAUUUAUAAGCUAAAAUUAUCACAUGGCCACUAAUAUAUUAAAAAAUAAUGUUAAUUAAUACAAUGUGCAAUUAUAUUUGGAGUUUAGUGAUAAAGAUAGAAUAUAGCUUGAUGUAGAUAGGGUUAAAUAAAUUCAUCUCCUUUACAGUUGGUGGCUACCUUGGCUAUAUAAUUUGCUCUAAUUUUCCUGGCAGCAGUUGCAAAGAGUGCUACACGCCAGGUCACAUACUUAUCUAUGUCUGUGAGGAGAUAUAAAAUCAUGUCAGGGGGGUUCUGGCUAGGGGACCUUGUCAUUAUAGGUGCUAAAAAUCUUUCUCUUCAUUAUAUAAGGGGCAGCGCAAGAUAUAAUGCAUAAGGUCCUCUACUUUAGGACAUCCCCUAAUGCAAACACGUUCGUUUGUUGGUAUGAUUCUGUGUCUCCCAUCUCUAUAAGCAGAGUUUGUUGUAUUUAAUCAUAACUCUAUAAAAGCUUACCUUCUUUAUCGAAGGCAUAACAUUUAGACUUGAAGAAGCAGCAGAGCAGGGAGAAUGGUGACGUCUUGCUGCCCUGUGGAACAACUGAGAGUCAGAGGUCCUUAUCUACUGAUUGCAAAUCAUCCAUGAAUCGACCAGGAUGUAUUCAGUAACUCAGCUUUUUCCUGGCUUCACAUCCUCCCAGUCUCGCCACAGGCCUAAACCUCUUAUCCCUACAUCUCAUUUUGGAGAGCACAUUGCGCUUCUAGCUGGAACAACAGCCCCACCUUCCUUCAAAGCAUGGUACGACUUGCUGGACAUUGCAAAAGAGAGCCCAGAAGCACCUUCUCCAGGAGCUUACAACUACAGAAAGCCCAGCCGUCCCCUGGCAACCUUCUGGUUUCUAGUUGUGCAUCGAGCCUCGCUGCUUCAACCCAUCCUAACGCAGCCAUGAAGAUCCUUCCGCUGUGCUUGGCUGCCCUGUGUUUGCUGCUCCCGGCUGCCUCAGGUAAGGGAUGGAGAGAGCGUGCACAGUCCGUACGGAUGCUGCACAUGCGCCGCCGAGCAGUUUGCCUCGCCCCGGGUGCCAGAGAGGGUUCCUCCGCCACUGUCCUCAUCCAACCCAUCCAUGAAUUUGUCCCAAUCCUGGUGCUUUGGCCAAAACAGCACCGUCCAUGCACACAAGUAACAUAUUAGCAAG